AGACCUGUGUCUCCACACGGACAGGAGUGACAGGAGGAGGAAGACCUGUGUCUCCACACGGACAGGAGUGACAGGAGGAAGACCUGUGUCUCCACACGGACAGGAGUGACAGGAGGAAGAAGACCUGUGUCUCCACACGGACAGGAGUGACAGGAGGAGGAAGACCUGUGUCUCCACACGGACAGGUGUGACAGGAGGAAGAAGACCUGCGUUUCCACACGGACAGGUGUGACAGGAGGAAGACCUGUGUCUCCACACGGACAGGAGUGACAGGAGGAGGAAGACCUGUGUCUCCACACGGACAGGAGUGACAGGAGGAAGACCUGUGUCUCCACACGGACAGGAGUGACAGGAGGAAGAAGACCUGUGUCUCCACACGGACAGGAGUGACAGGAGGAGGAAGACCUGCGUCUCCACACGGACAGGUGUGACAGGAGGAGGAAGACCUGUGUUUCCACACGGACAGGAGUGACAGGAGGGAGACCUGCGUUUCAAGCAAGAAGAGCAGAAGACACGCUGAGCUCAGCGUCCUCUGACCACAGCCUGAGCUUCAAGACUGAAGGACGCAGCGUGCAGGCAGCAUCCAGCGGGAAAAAUGACAGCAGCCGCCCCAGCGCCCGAGCUUGCCCUGGAAAAAAGACGGCGAGGCUGGGCGGCAGCGUGGAGCACGGGGCAGGGGCCGCCCUGGCCCAGGACUCUCCCACCCACCGACCUAGCGUUUCCUGGAGGGAAACACAGUCAUCCGAGGUUUCUGUGUUCCCUCCAGGAAGAUGCGCUGCUUCCCCAUCUAGACGUGCACGAACGUUCUCAGCCUGAGGAAGACAGAUGGCGUGCCUCCCGAGGAAGGCCCGGAAAUAGAGCAGUAGCCGUCGAGAUGCAGAUAGUGAUGUCGGCCUGGAGACCCCUGGGGGCUGCCCUCCGGGUGGUCCCUCACACGAUGGGGCGGGUGGGCCUCUGUGCUCACAAGCAUCCGGAAACACAGUUUCCACCACCAAUGCAGACCAGAUGGGAACCUGUCACACUCACCACACUGCGGAGGAGGGACCUGUCACACUGUCACUACACUGCAGAGGGACCUGUCACACUGUCCACACUGCGGAGGAGGGACCUGUCACACUGUCACUACACUGCAGAGGGACCUGUCACACUGUCCACACUGCAGAGGGACCUGACACACUGUCACCUCACUGCAGAGGGACCUGACACACUGUCACCACGUGCAGAGGGACCUGUCACACUCACCACACUGCGGAGGGACCUGUCACACUCACCACACUGCAGAGGAGGGACCUGUCACACUGUCCACACUGCAGAGGGACCUGUCACUGUCACUACACUGCAGAGGGACCUGUCACACUGUGCACACUGCAGAGGGACCUGUCACACUGUCACCUCACUGCAGAGGGACCUGUCACACUGUCCACACUGCAGAGGGACCUGUCACACUGUCACCACCCUGCAGAGGGACCUGUCACACUGUCCACACUGCAGAGGGACCUGUCACACUGUCACCUCACUGCAGAGGGACCUGUCACACUGUCACCACACUGCAGAGGAGGGUCUGCCACACUGUCACCACACUGCAGAGGGACCUGCCACACUGUCACCACACUGCAGAGGGACCUGUCACCCUGUCCACACUGCAGAGGGACCUGUCACACUGUCCACACUGCAGAGGGACCUGUCACACUGUCACCACCCUGCAGAGGGACCUGUCACACUCACCACACUGCAGAGGGACCUGUCACACUGUCCACACUGCAGAGGGACCUGUCACACUGUCCACACUGCAGAGGGACCUGUCACACUCACCACACUGCAGAGGGACCUGUCACACGGUCACCACACUGCAGAGGGACCUGUCACACUGUCCACACUGCAGAGGGACCUGUCACACUGUCCAUACUGCAGAGGGACCUGUCACACUGACCACACUGUAGAGGGACCUGUCACACUCACCACACUGCAGAGGGCCCUGUCACACUGUCACCACACUGCAGAGGGACCUGUCACACUGUCCACACUGCAGAGGGACCUGUCACACUCACCACACUGCAGAGGGACCUGUCACACUGUCUACACUGCAGAGGAGGGACCUGCCACACUGUCACCACAUGCAGAGGGACCUGUCACACUGUCCAUACUGCAGAGGGACCUGUCACACUGA
rnacentral:lncRNA from 1 species